rnacentral:rRNA from 1 species
CGCAAUGGGCGAAAGCCUGACGGAGCGACGCCGCGUGAUGGAUGAAGUGCCUUGGUACGUAAACAUCUUUUAUCGGGGACGAAGUUUAUUGACGGUACCCGAUGAAUAAGGAGCUCCUAACUCUGUGCCAGCAGGAGCGGUAAUACAGAGGCUCCAAGCAUUACCCGGAAUCACUGGGCGUAAAGGGUGUCUAGGCGGCCAUAUUAGUCUCUCGUUAAAUCUGCGGGCUUAACCUGCAGGCUGCGAGGGAAACGGUAUGGCUCGAGGGCGUAAGAGGUGCACGGAACUCAUGGUGGAGGGGUGAAAUCCGUUGAUAUCAUGGGUAACUCCGACUCAGAAUAGGGCGAAUUGAA